GAUGAAUGCUGGCGGCGUGCUUAAUACAUGCAAGUCGAACGAGUCUUCGGACUAGUGGCGAACGGGUGAGUAACACGUUGGUACCUGCCCCGAAGUGGGGAAUAACUGGCCGAAAGGUCAGCUAAUACCGCAUAAUACCGCAAGGUUAAAGUAGCAAUACGCUUCGGGAGGGGCCUGCGUAUGAUUAGCUAGUUGGUGGGGUAACUGCCCACCAAGGCGACGAUCAGUAGCUGGAUCGAGAGGUUGACCAGCCACACUGGGACUGAGAUACGGCCCAGACUCCUACGGGAGGCAGCAGUAAGGAAUUUUCCACAAUGGACGAAAGUCUGAUGGAGCAACGCCGCGUGCAGGAUGACGGUCUUCGGAUUGUAAACUGCUUUUAUAUGGGAAGAUUAUGACGGUACCAUAUGAAUAAGGACCGGCUGACUACGUGCCAGCCGCCGCCGUAA
rnacentral:rRNA from 1 species